CAUUGGCCCACUGUGAUGUUUUGACCUUAUCCUCGUGCAUCCAUCCUUCUUUCCCCUCCAAACCCUUGAUUCCGCCGUCACUCCCUUCACUUAGGCGGGCACAGCAAGGCAUGUGAGGGAUCGUUUUGCCGGUCCUUCUUUUAGCCGUUAUUGUGGAUCUUGCUCCUCACCAUGUCCAGCACGCUAUCUGUUCCAUAUUACCUCGACACCCUUGGCUUUUGAGCUACCUGUGGUCCGCUGCAGCUCCGACAUUUAUGCGGCAAGGUACAUUUCAGGAAUUUCGAGGAUAUACGAUUUGUUGGCACAUUUUUGGUUGACUUUGGACUCCUCCCUGCGCAGAGACGAGUUUCAGUCCCCGAUCUGUUUUAACGCGCUUUUCGUCAUGAACUCGGUGAUUUCAUGAUGUUUAAGGACAACCAUGGGAAUGAGUUACGCGUCAUGUUAGACAAGGUUGGUAACAAUGCAUUUUUUUUCAAGGGAUUUCAUUUCAUAGUUGCCGCGUACAACAUAAAACAUGGGGCUUGGAUGCGUGCCUAUUAUGAAGGUGAUGGCACCCUAUGCACCUCUAUAAGGAACUUUGACGGAUCUCGCAUUGUGUAUCCAAAGUCACAUUCUCGAAGUAGCUUCACUGCUCCAGCAGUCAGUAGGGUUAAUCUUCACCGAGCAGGCGUCCUGUCUUGUGAUGUGAUCCAUACGGGCAACGUCAUACCUCCAUUUUCCAUUGAAUACACUCCUCCAACUUCUCCUGUUCGUGGCAACGCCUUCGGUAGUCCACAAUAUUCAACCAACAGCCUAGGUUGUCCUGUGUAUUUUGCCUCGACUUUUUCAUAAGCUAAUCUGGUGGGACAAGUUGACCUCAGUUCGCAGAGGCAAUCGCUUAGUCCGCCCCUUGUAGGAGAUGCUGGCGGCUUCUCCAAGUGGAUUUGUCGUUAGAUUUGUUUUCGAUGUUGCCUUGCGACCGAGGAUGCUCCUACUCAUUCCUAAUCCAACUUUCAAGUUUAAACUCAA